rnacentral:rRNA from 1 species
GACAUAGGCCCCGAGCGUUAGGCGGAAUCACUGGGCUUAAAGCGUGUGUAGGCGGACCCCUAAGUGUCUUGUGAAAUCCCACGGCUCACCCGUGGAACCGCUGGGCAUACUGGGGGUCUUGGGCCGUUCAGGGGCGACUGGAACAAGCGGUGGAGCGGUGAAAUGCGUAGAUAUCGCUUGGAACGCCGAAGGUGCAAACAGGUCGCUGGGGACGCGCCGACGCUGAGACACGAAAGCCAGGGGAGCAAACAGG